AGAAAUAUUCCAGAAACAUUAAUGAAAAACAAGGACCUACAACCAUGAUUGCUCUACCCAGCAAAGGUAUCAAUUAGAAUGGAAGGACAGAUAAGGAGCUUUCCAGACAAGACAAAGCUAAAGGAGCUCAUCACCACCAAACCAUUAUUACAUGAA